rnacentral:lncRNA from 1 species
CUAAAUGGUCCUUGACAGAUUAAGCUGGAUCCGACUCUGCUUAAACAGAAGCCCUGGGUCCUGACUCCCCUGGAAAGACACGCCCAUCACGUGUACUCUUUUCCCGUGGUGGCGCGGGGAGACUGCUAAUCACGCCUCCCUUCCACUCCCCACAGCCUUCCCACUUGUGAAAUCUGAAGCCGCCUUCCAACCUCCCUCUGCAGUUUUCCCUGUGCUGACCUCUACCUUAAAUCCAGUAUCUUGAAGGAUGGUCUGUGCCUGACAGACACCUCCAGUCAGCCCCUGUUGCGCCCCUUACCACAGAAGCCUUUCAGGUCCCUCCCAGCCCAGGCUAACCUAGAUGUCCUGAAUCUGAAAACCCCCACUAUGCUGUGCUGCGGAAACCCUGUCUGU